rnacentral:rRNA from 1 species
GGUUAAGCGACUAAGCGUACACGGUGGAUGCCCUGGCAGUCAGAGGCGAUGAAGGACGUGCUAAUCUGCGAUAAGCGUCGGUAAGGUGAUAUGAACCGUUAUAACCGGCGAUUUCCGAAUGGGGAAACCCAGUGUGUUUCGACACACUAUCAUUAACUGAAUCCAUAGGUUAAUGAGGCGAACCGGGGGAACUGAAACAUCUAAGUACCCCGAGGAAAAGAAAUCAACCGAGAUUCCCCCAGUAGCGGCGAGCGAACGGGGAGCAGCCCAGAGCCUGAAUCAGUGUGUGUGUUAGUGGAAGCGUCUGGAAAGGCGCGCGAUACAGGGUGACAGCCCCGUACACAAAAAUGCACAUGCUGUGAGCUCGAUGAGUAGGGCGGGACACGUGGUAUCCUGUCUGAAUAUGGGGGGACCAUCCUCCAAGGCUAAAUACUCCUGACUGACCGAUAGUGAACCAGUACCGUGAGGGAAAGGCGAAAAGAACCCCGGCGAGGGGAGUGAAAAAGAACCUGAAACCGUGUACGUACAAGCAGUGGGAGCACGCUUCGGCGUGUGACUGCGUACCUUUUGUAUAAUGGGUCAGCGACUUAUAUUCUGUAGCAAGGUUAACCGAAUAGGGGAGCCGAAGGGAAACCGAGUCUUAACUGGGCGUUAAGUUGCAGGGUAUAGACCCGAAACCCGGUGAUCUAGCCAUGGGCAGGUUGAAGGUUGGGUAACACUAACUGGAGGACCGAACCGACUAAUGUUGAAAAAUUAGCGGAUGACUUGUGGCUGGGGGUGAAAGGCCAAUCAAACCGGGAGAUAGCUGGUUCUCCCCGAAAGCUAUUUAGGUAGCGCCUCGUGAAUUCAUCUCCGGGGGUAGAGCACUGUUUCGGCAAGGGGGUCAUCCCGACUUACCAACCCGAUGCAAACUGCGAAUACCGGAGAAUGUUAUCACGGGAGACACACGGCGGGUGCUAACGUCCGUCGUGAAGAGGGAAACAACCCAGACCGCCAGCUAAGGUCCCAAAGUCAUGGUUAAGUGGGAAACGAUGUGGGAAGGCCCAGACAGCCAGGAUGUUGGCUUAGAAGCAGCCAUCAUUUAAAGAAAGCGUAAUAGCUCACUGGUCGAGUCGGCCUGCGCGGAAGAUGUAACGGGGCUAAACCAUGCACCGAAGCUGCGGCAGCGACGCUGAUGCGUUGUUGGGUAGGGGAGCGUUCUGUAAGCCUGCGAAGGUGUGCUGUGAGGCAUGCUGGAGGUAUCAGAAGUGCGAAUGCUGACAUAAGUAACGAUAAAGCGGGUGAAAAGCCCGCUCGCCGGAAGACCAAGGGUUCCUGUCCAACGUUAAUCGGGGCAGGGUGAGUCGACCCCUAAGGCGAGGCCGAAAGGCGUAGUCGAUGGGAAACAGGUUAAUAUUCCUGUACUUGGUGUUACUGCGAAGGGGGGACGGAGAAGGCUAUGUUGGCCGGGCGACGGUUGUCCCGGUUUAAGCGUGUAGGCUGGUUUUCCAGGCAAAUCCGGAAAAUCAAGGCUGAGGCGUGAUGACGAGGCACUACGGUGCUGAAGCAACAAAUGCCCUGCUUCCAGGAAAAGCCUCUAAGCAUCAGGUAACAUCAAAUCGUACCCCAAACCGACACAGGUGGUCAGGUAGAGAAUACCAAGGCGCUUGAGAGAACUCGGGUGAAGGAACUAGGCAAAAUGGUGCCGUAACUUCGGGAGAAGGCACGCUGAUAUGUAGGUGAAGCGACUUGCUCGUGGAGCUGAAAUCAGUCGAAGAUACCAGCUGGCUGCAACUGUUUAUUAAAAACACAGCACUGUGCAAACACGAAAGUGGACGUAUACGGUGUGACGCCUGCCCGGUGCCGGAAGGUUAAUUGAUGGGGUCAGCGCAAGCGAAGCUCUUGAUCGAAGCCCCGGUAAACGGCGGCCGUAACUAUAACGGUCCUAAGGUAGCGAAAUUCCUUGUCGGGUAAGUUCCGACCUGCACGAAUGGCGUAAUGAUGGCCAGGCUGUCUCCACCCGAGACUCAGUGAAAUUGAACUCGCUGUGAAGAUGCAGUGUACCCGCGGCAAGACGGAAAGACCCCGUGAACCUUUACUAUAGCUUGACACUGAACAUUGAGCCUUGAUGUGUAGGAUAGGUGGGAGGCUUUGAAGUGUGGACGCCAGUCUGCAUGGAGCCGACCUUGAAAUACCACCCUUUAAUGUUUGAUGUUCUAACGUUGACCCGUAAUCCGGGUUGCGGACAGUGUCUGGUGGGUAGUUUGACUGGGGCGGUCUCCUCCUAAAGAGUAACGGAGGAGCACGAAGGUUGGCUAAUCCUGGUCGGACAUCAGGAGGUUAGUGCAAUGGCAUAAGCCAGCUUGACUGCGAGCGUGACGGCGCGAGCAGGUGCGAAAGCAGGUCAUAGUGAUCCGGUGGUUCUGAAUGGAAGGGCCAUCGCUCAACGGAUAAAAGGUACUCCGGGGAUAACAGGCUGAUACCGCCCAAGAGUUCAUAUCGACGGCGGUGUUUGGCACCUCGAUGUCGGCUCAUCACAUCCUGGGGCUGAAGUAGGUCCCAAGGGUAUGGCUGUUCGCCAUUUAAAGUGGUACGCGAGCUGGGUUUAGAACGUCGUGAGACAGUUCGGUCCCUAUCUGCCGUGGGCGCUGGAGAACUGAGGGGGGCUGCUCCUAGUACGAGAGGACCGGAGUGGACGCAUCACUGGUGUUCGGGUUGUCAUGCCAAUGGCACUGCCCGGUAGCUAAAUGCGGAAGAGAUAAGUGCUGAAAGCAUCUAAGCACGAAACUUGCCCCGAGAUGAGUUCUCCCUGACUCCUUGAGAGUCCUGAAGGAACGUUGAAGACGACGACGUUGAUAGGCCGGGUGUGUAAGCGCAGCGAUGCGUUGAGCUAACCGGUACUAAUGAACCGUGAGGCUUAACCUU